rnacentral:rRNA from 1 species
CUUGCCGUAGGGUCCACAAACUGAGUGAGUGUCGCAGCUAACGCGUUAAGCAGGGCGCCUGGGGAGUACGGCCGCAAGGCUAAAACUCAAAGGAAUUGACGGGGACCCGCACAAGCAGUGGAGCGCCUGGUUUAAUUCGAUGGUCAGCGAAGAACCUCACCUGGGCUUGAACUGUAGCUGCACACCUUGGGAAACCAGGGGAGCCUUCGAGGGUGCUACAGAGGUGAUGCAUGGCUGUCGUCAGCUCGUGUCGUGAGAUGUAGGGUUAAGUCCCGUAACGAGCGCAACUCUUAUCUGAUGUUAUAAUUUCUUCAGAGACUGCCCCGUUAUAGCGGGGAGGAAGGAGGGGAUGACGUCCAGUCAGCAUGUCCCUUAUGUCCAGGGCUACACAGACGCUACAAUGGCUAUUACAAUGGGCUGCCAAGCCGCGAGGUGGAGCGAAUCCCAUCAAAAAUAGUCUCAGUUCGGAUUGCAGGCUGAAAUUCGCCUGCAUGAAGUCGGAAUUGCUAGUAAUCGCGUAUCAGCAUGGCGCGGUGAAUACGUUCUCGGGUCUUGUACACACCGCCCGUCAGGGCACGGGAGUUG